GACGAACGCUGGCGGCGUGCUUAACACAUGCAAGUCGAACGGUGAAGCUCCAGCUUGCUGGAGUGGAUCAGUGGCGAACGGGUGAGUAACACGUGAGCAACCUGCCCCUGACUCUGGAAUAAGCGCUGGAAACGGCGUCUAAUACUGGAUACGAGAAGGGUCCGCAUGGGCACUUUCUGGAAAGUUUUUCGGUUGGGGAUGGGCUCGCGGCCUAUCAGCUUGUUGGUGAGGUAAUGGCUCACCAAGGCGACGACGGGUAGCCGGCCUGAGAGGGCGACCGGCCACACUGGGACUGAGACACGGCCCAGACUCCUACGGGAGGCAGCAGUGGGGAAUAUUGCACAAUGGGCGAGAGCCUGAUGCAGCGACGCCGCGUGAGGGAUGACGGCCUUCGGGUUGUAAACCUCUUUCAGCAGGGAAGAAGCGGAAGUGACGGUACCUGCAGAAGAAGCACCGGCUAACUACGUG
rnacentral:rRNA from 1 species